rnacentral:rRNA from 1 species
AUUGAACGCUGGCGGCGUGCCUAACACAUGCAAGUCGAGCGGUAACAGGUGUAGCAAUACAUGCUGACGAGCGGCGGACGGGUGAGUAACGCUUGGGAAUCUGCCUGUUAGUGGGGGACAACCCGGGGAAACUCGGGCUAAUACCGCAUACGCACUACGGUGGAAAGCCGGGGACCGCAAGGCCUGGCGCUAACAGAUGAGCCCAAGUCGGAUUAGCUAGUUGGUAGGGUAACGGCCACCAAGGCGACGAUCCGUAACUGGUCUGAGAGGACGACCAGUCACACCGGAACUGAGACACGGUCCGGACUCCUACGGGAGGCAGCAGUGGGGAAUAUUGGACAAUGGGCGAAAGCCUGAUCCAGCGACGCCGCGUGGGUGAAGAAGGCCUGCGGGUUGUAAAGCCCUUUCGGUGGGGAAGAAAGCCUCGAGUUAAUACCUCGGGGUCUUGACGUAACCCAUAGAAGAAGCACCGGCUAACUCUGUGCCAGCAGCCGCCGUAA